CAGAGAGGGGACGGCAGGCAGAGGAGGGGUCAACGGCUUCAAAAAUGAGUCAAGUUUAGUUGGAUGCCGCUCAGAUUUCUGUGGCGGGACGGCAGCAGGAGGUGUGGAGCAGGAGUCGGGGUGUACAGCACUCACAGCUGGAUCCCCAGGAGACUGGUGUGGCCGGGAGCAUUGUCCUCCUCACCGGAAAGCCUGUGAUUCAAUAGCCAUGGACGGGGUGCUGGGAAGGAGACGGUAACACAGAUCUCAUCUCUCCUAGCCAGCGGGGUGGGUGGCGGGAGCUGUUGCCAUUUUUCAGGCCUAUAUCCAGGUCAGCUGGUUCGGCACGCCAGCCCCGCCGUGACGAUGUUGCGCUGCCAAAGGCUCCAAGAGAUUGCAAAGGAUCUCAAAUACCCAAACAGAAGCGGCAGUAGACCCCAUUAAUAUUUCGGUGGCUGUCGGGCAAAGCUGCUCAGAACAAGAUUAUUGGCAGGCUGUCUGCAGAACGCAGGCUAGAUACUCAUCUCCUGAGACUCACUUUGACUACCCUUUAUACUAUUGCUUUUUCUUUUAGCAAAGCAGGCGCUUAAAAAAGAAAGAGAGAGAAACACUCGACAACAUGUAUGUUUUCAACACUGCGUUGGAUGGAAACCCAGCUGGGGUAGGAGGGUGAGAGCUGGGUCUGAUCACUUGAUCACCUCUGUUAGUCAAAAACAAAUGGAUCUAGGGCCAAACACGUCCCACAAAGUCUUUUUCUCCCUUAAUAUUUUUUUUCAGAUGGAAUAUUUUCUUGCCAAGCCACAGACAACCCAAGCUGCAAGAUCUGGAUUCUGAUUUUUGAACACUCCACAGUUUGAGGAGUAUUUGGAUCUAGUUUGGCCCAUAAUAAUGACAGGAGCAUCGAUUCAUAUGCUUUAGGGCCAGGAGAGACCAUUAAAAUCAUCUCAUCUGACCUCCGGCAAAGCACAGGCCAUAGACUUUCACCCUAUGGUAACUGCAUCAAACCCAUUCCUUCGAGCUGAGCUAGAGCAUGUUUUUUACCUACAGCAUAUUUGGGCCUGUCUCUGCCAUUGGCCUGAUUCAGACAUCAAGCAACCCAAAAAAUCAGAGUUGUUUUGGUUCUGGGCUUUUGUUUCAGGCCUAUCACUAAUGGAAAUGGGGUUGACCUUGCAGGGACUCUCAGGAGGAGUGUCUCGGAGACUGCGGCAGAAGGGGCAUUUGAAACAAGACCUCGUAGGAGGCAUGAAGAGCGUAGUAAGACUUGGGACAAGUGGCUGCAGGAAUGGAUGCUAGCAAGAGUGGUUGCAAAGCAUCUACUGAAGAAGACAUAAGACUUCCAGAGUCAGGUUUCCUUUGGAUGCUCCUGAGCCUGACCUGCCAUAGGGGAUGUCCCAGUUCACCUUCGCUUGCUUCUGCGGGCUCCAUGGCUUCUGCAAGAUGAAGAGGAAUAAAGAAGAGCCCAGCGCAGAGCAGGAGACGUCAGUGUGAGACUUGUCUCGGGUGUAUCACGUUUACCCGCUCACUCACAUCGCUGGAUCCCAGCCCUGCUUUGAACUUGAGACUUGCCUGGCUUGGAAAAAAAGCUGAAACUCAGAAAUGACCCUUACAGAAGAGCCACAAACAGGCAUUAUCAUGGGUGCUAGGGUGGUUCAGCACAGAUCCCCAGUCUCAAAGGUGCUUGGCCUUGGACCCCACAGCUAUCCGUGGCAGAGAGAGAGUUUGUCCAUUUGCUGGGUAAAAGUUUCAUUCAUGAGAAAGCUGUCCUUGUCUUGCUCGAAUAUAUCCUCAUGGACAGACUCUGAAAGAGAUUUGCAAAUCAAGAGCCAAGUCCUGCCCUCAGUUUCCCUGGAGUAAGUGGGCAGCAGGAAUUGGCUCUGUGUUUUUAAGUUGUCUCACUGCUGCACUGUCAACUGAAAAUGAACAAGCUGUAGAGUUUUUUUAGUAUCUCCAGCAAAUGUCUGUGUCUACAAGAAGCAGUUCCUAAUGCCUCUGAGACAUUUUGGGCUCAGAUGUGCUAGAUGACAGCAUGGAGAAACCCUUAGGAAGUGGUGCAAACAAACUGGGCUUUGAUUCUGCUCCUUCUCCCUUCAGUCACUCCACUGAAGUCUAUGUUGUUAGCCCAGUGGGAGAGCAGACUCAUACCCCUUACAUGUCUAUAUUAAAUAUGGGAAGUGAAUUUUGCAGUUGGCCCCUUUUCUAUAAUGGGCUUGAAUCAGAACUUUAUGUGGAGAAAAGUUUGGAACUGGGAAUCAGAUCUCAGCUUUGGAGCUUAGGUCUAUCUCUAGCAUGUAUGCAUCCUCCCAUGGUUCUCCACUUUUCCCAUAAUGGGUACCAUCUUCCAAUCUAGCCAUUUAGCAACCUGGGAAAGGCAGAAUGGCCAUUACCCUCUGACACCUGUUCAUGUACAUGCUGUGGGACACAACCCCCAGGAUAAGAGCCCAUGUUCUCAAAAAAAUUCAUGCAGCUGACAGUCUGGAAAAUGCCAGUGUUCAAAUCAUUAAUCUUUUUUGCUGGCACUGCCUCACCUAAUCCAGGCACAGCCAUUAGUGUUAGUACAGUGCUAUAGUUUCAGAGGUUGUCCCUGUUUUCUCCUUCCUUGUCCGUACACCUUUCCUACUUGCUGUUAAAGCCAUAGGGAAACUCCCUGUGUGCUGUGCCUUUCAGGAGGUGUUUCAGACAGACUGUCCUCUUCAGGUACCCUAAAGUAGCCCCAGCAGUUGUCACUGUGGAUUCCAGAAAAUACAGCUAUUUCAUGGCCUGAUCCAAAGAACACUGAGGUCAGUAGAAACUCUUCCUUUGAUUUCAGUAGGUUUGGAUCAGGACCUCACUCAGGAAGGUCUUCUUGUGGUAGCGUUGGAGAACCCAACCCUCAGCUCCAAACACUCCCAGCCUUAUGGCACUGGAAAUCCAGACCCAAAUUUAGCCACUCAGACCCAGCUCUGGUUAAUUCAGGCAGCCUCAACCCCUUCACUCCUGAAUCCUUUGCUGCCACCUCCAAAAUGUGCAGCCCCCGAGGCUACUAGAGGUUUGCUGUUUCGAUGGCAGUGACUAGGAGGGAAUACCCAGUGAGGAUGGUCACACAGUAUUUGUAGCCCUUUCAGUCAGAAUAAACUGCAGCUGCUGCGGCUUUCGAGAACUGGUGGCAAGGCCUGAGCUGGGUGCAUGAGAGAGUCAGAGAGACAGGCUGUCCACAUGACAGGCUGCGAUGGUAGCCGUGGAGAUCUGGGGAGGGGUUCAAAAUGGCUGCCUCAGGCAGGGCUGGUUCAGCCAGUACUGCAAAGCUGGCGGCUGUAGAGAACCCUCAUGAACCCCCUCCUGCCCCAGUCAUCUCUGUAUGGAAAAGCCAGUGGGAGGUUCCUUGUUCUUGCUCCAGGGUUCAGUGGCGUGGAGUAGAAGCUGCUUUGUACUGAGCAAGAACCCAGUGGGGACCACUUGGGCCCCCUAGAGAAUGGGGGUGCCUCCCCCUUUAAUAUGCUCCUGGUUAGGGUAAAUUGCUGGUUCUCUGCCUCCUCCUGUGUAACAGAAAACCUCCAUUCACUUGCUCCUCUAAGUCCCUCAGCAAACCCAUUGCACCCGUUCUGGAUACAUCUCCUGAGGCCCGAGUCCCACCACAGAAUGGAACCAAGCCCUCAGAAUCGAUCAGGGCAGAGGAUGGGUAGUGGGAGAAGGUCAUGUGCUAAAUCUGGUGGGGAGGGGGACAAGUGAAUGACGUUGCAUGGGACCGUCAAUAGGCCUUCACUGCAGCCAGCCAAAGGCUUUGGGUAGGUGAUUAAUAUUAAACAAAAAAUAGUAAUUGGGGCAAAACCACCAUUUCUAUUUAAAGGCCAAAACUGGAGGAUCAGGGGCACAGAGUACCAUAGGGCAGUGGGGCCAGAGAUUGUUAAUGCUGUAACUCUGAUGCAAAAUCUUGCCCGGUAGAGUCUCUGAGGACUGUUGUCUCUGCUCCCCUCUAGGAAGGGCAGACAGGUAAAUCUUUAGGGGCCAGAUCCGUGACCAGUGUAAAUCAGAGGAGACUCGUUGACUUCAGUGGAGCUAUGCAGAUUUACACCAGCUGAGGACCUGGCCCCAAGAAGAAUAAGUUGAGCUAAACAAAUCCUUUCCCCCACUUAUAAAACACACCGACCUUUCCAGUGCUCAGACCGCUGCUGCCAGACCGGAUUUACGCUUGACAAACAGAGCUGUGUGUGCUGGUGACAAGCUCUCCUUUUGGGAAGAUUUGCUAGCUUGGCCAGCUACCAAAACCAACAUGGCCAUUAUUUUAUUGUCUUAUCCGAAGGGUUUAGCCUGAAACCUCUGCCCAGCAAGGAUGACCAAUAAAAGGAGACACAUGAGAUCAUCUCCUGGGGUAUAAGAAGAGCAACGAACUAAGCGGCUUUAAAAUAAUCUUUGUCGGGUGCCAGUAGUCGGGGUUGCUCUAGGAGAUGGUUGAGUCACUUCAAACAUGAAACAGCUGGUAGCAGACCAUAGUGAGGAGUCCAACUGCACCUGAUCUUGCUUAGUGAGUCAGUCUGGAAAGUUCACAUGCUGCGAAGCACUGUAUUUUCCCCAUGGAGCAUGAAGAAGAUUCUCACACAAGGUGCUGUCUGGUUCAUGCACAUGAAGGAUCAAGCAUAGGGAAAGGACCCAACACUGAAAGCACUGGGGUCAGACUCCAGAUAUAUAUGGCCCAGAUGUCUUUUUUUCUCAGUGAACUUUGGCAUGGCUGAGCCAACUUGUGAUGGUGACCAUUUUGCUACUGCUUGAUGCUUUACAGAAGCCCAUCACUGGUGGCUGUUGGGCUCAUUUUCAUCUCAUUCCAAUGGUGGCAGAACAUUUAGCAGAAGGCUGAAUUUUAGGCUUAGUUUGGUAUCUAAAUCUCCUAGGAGGCUUAGCAAAUGGCAGUGUUUAAAUAUUAAACAUUACAGGCCAAAUCUUGGGGUCUCUCACCCAGGAAAAGCUUUCACUGGGUCAAUGCCUCACUGGAAUGGAGCAUUUUCAAAUUCCAUUGGCUGCAGAGAGAGAGCCGAAGGUGCUCAGCGUCGCUCUUGACUGGGUGUUUUGAUUGAUUAAAGACUUCAGGAUUUGGCCCUAAAAUUCUUUCCAAUCAUUGACCCCAUAAUAAAGCAGAAGGAAAAGUGAUGCAGAGGACGAACCCUGUCACUGAGCAUCUCUAGAUGCCAAUAUCAUUCAUGUGUGCCCUAUUCUGCAAGUUGACAGCAAUAGGAAACAUGAUUUUUAAAGAAAGCCAGCUACAGCCGUAUUCUGGGUAGGGAUAUGCCUGCGCAGCUCCCACUGAUGCCAAUGGAUCCCAAUAUACGUAUCCAAAGCCAGGAUACAGCUGAAUAUUUCCUAUCACAGUUCUGAGUUUCUGCACAGCAAGAAGUGCUUGGCUGCCUGUGAACUUUUACUCUGUUUUCUGCACUGAGCAAGGUGAGGGUAGUUGUUUUGACUCAUCCCCAUUCAUUUUCAUCAAGGUCAGCUCAUCACCUCAUGCUCAGCUGAUUGUGUAACACACUGUUAGCAGUUAUAGCUCUCCAUGGAUACCAGAGACUAUCUUUACUGGCCUUCUACUUAUACAGAGCAAGAAGAGCUACCUCUUUAGUGCAAGUGGCAGAGACUUGUGCAUUUGGUGCUGAUGGACACAAAUUCAAUCCCUAUUUAGGACCAGUGUCUGUGUGGGUACAGCCCCUGCUCACCGCAGCUGUAAGCUAUAGCAGCUAUUCUGGCAGCAGGAGGUUAUUCCAACUGAAGAUCAGUUGGCCACAAGUCCCUGAGAUCUUUGAAAUUCCUUUGGGUCGAAGUCAGAGGCAGGAGAUUUGCAAAUGAUCACAGACAGUUUCCUUUUUAGUGAGUUGGACCCCAGGUAAACUAAGAAUAUUAAUGUUUUCUCCAGCGUGGUGAGUUUUUAAUUCUUUAAUGGAGCACUAGGUGAAUAGCCAAGGUUAUUGUUGUGAAAUCUAGGCUGCUAUGAGCUUUUGAUUAUGCAGCCAUCACGGCUUCAUAGUUAAGGUUCCAAAAUUAAUACACACACCCUGAGACUCUGUAAAGAGCUAACAGCUUUAUUGAAUGUAUCCAGCUUGGCUGGAGGUUUAUAUAGUACUAAUUAAAUGCUCCUGAAAUGGUUCUUACUCGUAAAAAGUGGUAUGGGUGCUUCUGAGGUUUUCUCUCCAUUGUGGUUGUUCCAAAAUCUGGUCUGGAAGGAGGAGGGGGAUCCUUCCAGGACAAUACGUUAACUUAUUGAAUGUAUACUGUAGACCACCAUAUGGCUGCUGAAUUUAUCUCACCUCUAGAAUUGCACCUGCCUCCAGCAAAGAGCUUCCUAGGUAGGUAUGGAUGAAUAUAGUAUGUAAAAUAUAGAGAGAGAGACACACACAUACAUAUAUAUACAUAUAUAACUGAAAAUGCAAUAAAUUACACAAGUGUGGAUAGAUAGCUCCCAAUAUGUUAAUAUGUUAAUAAUAUGUUAUCUACAGUGGCUCCAAGCAAAAUCAUUUGCUCCUGGCUUGACCCCCUGUGGUGCUCAUAAAUGUCUCGUGGUGUUUUUUGAUUCUCCUAUCGUAAAGACUUGACCUCUAGAUUGAUGGCUGAAGGUUCCUUCAUCCACACAUCAUUUCCCACCAGGCUCCAGCACUGUGCUUUUCUGCAGCAAACCUGUCAAUAGUCUGAACUUCCAAGCAGUUUGCUCUUUGCUAAUUUCCCAGGCUGAGAGCGGGUGCUGCCAACUAACUUCCACAUGACAAGUUUGCAGUGGGCAAAAAGUUAGAUUUUUUUCCCCCAGUGGCAGCAUUUUAUCAGGACACCGGACUCUUCCAAAUCUGUGAAAGCUGGAAAGCUAACAGCUCUUGUCAAAGUACAAAUGAGCUCCCCCUCUCUCUUUCUCUUCCUCACCCACAUACUUGCACAAGCCCUGGUGUUUUUUAUAUGUCUAUAUAAGAAGCAUUUUGCUUCAGUGCCCAGAAUUUCCUUUGUUCCCACACUUGUGUAACAUGCUUUAUGCUGCUUGUCCAUCUGGCUUCCACUUUUCCAUGUCAGAGGUGACUGCAUUUCAGUGGUGCUAUAGAAAUACAAAUCUUACUACUACUACUACUACUAAAUUAACAAUAGUGAUAAACUAGUACAGAGCUAUUCAUCUAUAAAUCUCAAAGCACUUUACAAAGGAAGGGAAGCAUCAUUGCCUCCAUGGUACUGAGGGGGAAACUGAGGCUCAGAGCAGGGAAGUGACUGCCCAAAGCCACCCAGGGAUUCAGUGGCAGAGGCAGGAAAAUAAUCCAGGUGUCCUGACUCCCAGUUGUCCCUGUGAAGCUCUUUUGGAUCCUUUGGGUGAAAAAGGUGCUGUAGAAAUGUAAGGUUAUUUCUCCCUUUUUAUGACAGUUGCUUUAAUAUCAAUCCCAUUCAUGCUGAAGUCUCUGUAUACUUCUCCCCAUUAUAACAGGAGUCUUAACUGUAACGUAACUCCCUGGAACAGUUUCAAAGAGAAGCGUGCUAUGCUAGCUACCAUCAUUGUUCCUCAGAAAAUGAUUGUUCCUGAAAGAUGCAUUUGUUCCCACCAGAAAUAAUCCAUCUUUAAUCCUAUUACAGUGAAGGAAACCAUCCAAGUUUCUCUAAAUGAGAAUGGAAGGAUAUAUCUGAAACAGGCAAAUCUGCUCAUUUCUGCAAUGCAGCAAGCACUGAAGUGUGCAUCUCCAUUGCUACACACCCCAUUGGCCACCUGCCACCCUUGCCCAUAACCAGCUUUUCAGAUGACUCCGUGGGGACCUAUGAACUUAGCAAGGUGAUGUGCUCAUGGGAAUUUAGGAAACCAAAUAUGCAGCCCCCUUUCCCCAUCCAAUCCUUUCUGGGCAGCUGGCAAAAUGUAUUUAAGUUAAACGGACAGACGCUCCACUGGUAUAAAUCAGCACAGCUCCAAUUACACCAAUUUACUAGAGCUGAGGAUCGGGCCCAAAAUGCGUUGCAAUUAAAAGGAAAACCAGCAUUGCUUGAUCUUGACCGUAGAGCGUCUGCUGUAGUGCUGAUGGUGUAGUCAAGGGGGAAACAGCUUUAACAAUCAAAAUAACCAGAGCAUUGCCUUGGGCUAACUUCCAACAGAGGCAGUGUACCCUCUUUGUGAAUAUUGGCCUGCUUUGGAGCCAGAGAGUCUCCAGAUGUUUAUUUGCAUGACAAUAAGUGGGUAGGGAACCAAAAAAUAGUGUGUGUGUGUGUGUGUGGUGGGGUUUCAUCCCAAGUUGUUUUGUUUUUAUCAGCAGAUGAUCUCUUGACAGAUGUGGUCUUGCCAAGGGAACUUUCACUGCAUUUAUUUAAGAUGAAGGAAAUGUUUGUGCAGUGAGUUGGAAGGGUACAGAGCAUGCACAAAGAGUGAAGCCCAGAAAAAAGCUGCGGCUUGAACUCUUGUAACAUAUUCCUGAAAAUCUUACUGAAGAUGUGCAAAAAGAACAGGGAUCUAGCCUAAUCCAGCAUUUCUUAAUCUGUGGGCAGGACCCCAGAGUGGGUUGCGACCCCGUUUUAAUCGGGUCGCCAGGGCUGGUGUUAUACUUGCAGGGGCUAGGGUCCGAAGCCCAACACCAAGUCCCACCAUCCAGGGCUAAAGCCUGAGGACUUCAUCCCUUAGUGGUGGGGGACAGGUCACAGGACCCCCAUCUGGGGCUGAAGCCCUUGGGCUUUGGCUCCCCUGCCCAGAACAGUGGAGUUCAUUCUUUGGCCCUCCCCACCUGGGGCAGCUGGGCUCAGGCGAGCUCAGGCUUCAGUCCUCCCUCCUGGGGUCACGUAGUAAUUCUUGUUGUCAGAAGGGGGUCACGAUGCAAUGAAGUUUGAGAACCCCUGGCCUAAUCUAAUCUGAUACACAAACCCACGUAUCUAUAAUAUAUCGAGUUGGAAUCUCUUUUUUUUGUAAACUCCACAAUAGGAUUUAAGUCUUCAUUCCACCGGAACACUUUGCAAACACAAGCUCUUGGCAUUUAAUUGGACUGGAAAAAUAUUAGUGUUCUGUUUAUUAUGGCCAGAGUGAUUUCUGCAUUCCAGUGUGUAUCCAAUUUCUUUUAAGAUUAUCUAACCAAAGGUGUCCUUUUCUUUCUUGCACUUCUAGGGUGAUAUGGUAGGAUUAUGUUUUUUAAAUGCACUUUACUCCCCCAUGUUGAGUUGGUGGCCCCAGUUAUCUUGCUCUUUAUGAUUAUGCACAAGAACAUCUAUGGGUAGUUAGGUGUAAAGAAAUCAAACAUUUGCACACCACUGUCUCAUCUGAUACCGUCCAUCUAUCUGUAACUGACAUGGUCCCCCAAUGAGUUCUUUGACCAAUAUUUUCAAAAGUGACUAGUGAUUUUGGGUCCCCAACUUGAGUCACUUAAUAAGUGCUGAGUUCCAGAGGGUGAAUGCUCUGCACUUUCUGAAAAUCAGGCUCCCUUAAGGUGUCUCUAGAUGGGCAUUCAGAAUCACUAAUCACUUUAGAAAAUCUCCCUGCCUUCCUCUCCCUCCCAUUCCCCCAUCCCCACUCAUCAGCAAAAUAGCCUUCCUGGUCCAUAUCUUGCCAUCCUUUCUGUUGAUCUAAACAGGAAUUUUUCCCUGAACAAGAACUGCAGGAUCCGGACCGUUAUUUGCAUCUCUUCUUUAAGGGUAAAAAGACAGUUGGUUAAAUACAAUGUAUAUUUAUUGAAUGUAUCUGUAUAUAAUUUGCACAGCCACUUUGUAAAGCAGGGUGACCACAUGGGUAACAUACUCAUGGACUUAAACCACUGAUAAUCAAACAAUCCUCACUAUGAAGUUUAUUAUAUGUACAGAUUUAUAUAUAGGGUCACAUUUCACUCUCAUUUUUGCUGGUAAAUGCAGAGAGUCUGUCUGUGUGUUCAAAUGUCUCCAAAAAAAUAUGUGUAGUAUAGAGAUGGGCCUGAACCAACCCUUUGGAUCCAAGCACCCCAAAACUUCCACCAAGUUUGCGGAGGUUGGGGGGACCUCAGACCCAUCUCUAGUGUAAAGGCAUGUAAACAAAAAGCAGAACAAAGCAAGAAUAUAGUCACAGAAGAUGCAACACUAAGACCCUGACUCACCCGGCAAAGCAUAUGCAUAAAUUUAAGCUUGUGCUAAAAAGCUUUGCUGGAUUGGAUCCUAAAAUACAAUGGGCCUAAUUCACCCCUAAAGUAACCCCAUUGUUCUUCAGUGAAAUGUACAGUUACCCACACAUUUAAAGGUACAGGACUGUCUUUUCAAUGUGUUAAGUGUCUCCCUAUUGCCCUUUUUUCUUUUACUGUCUGGAUUCUAUCAUAAAGGGACCUAACCAGACACGUUCCUCAGGAGUCUCCCAGCCUCAGUAGCCAUAGAAACCAGCUAUUUUUAGUUUGUUUUUCAAGAUGCCAAUAAAUGACUUUUCUCUACUUUGGAAAGACAGAGGACCCGGUCAGCCUCAUGUAUUAAUGCAUGGUAAAUUAGUGUAUUUUAAAAGCCAUGCAAACUUCUUGUAAAAGUACUGUAUAUUUAAGAAGAAAAAUAAAUGUGAAACUUGUUAAUAGGAGAGUAUAUAAACGUGCAGAGUAGAUUAUUCACUUACUAUUAUAUUUCCUAUCUAAGAAAAAUAUUUGUAAUAAUUUUUAGAGCACACGCUUUAGAGUAUAGAUUUUAUAGAUGUCUGGAGAUAAAGAGUAUUUUUGGUACAUGACAUGUUUUGCUUUCUCCUUUCUCAAGCUGCUUGCUUAAUCCCUGUCCCAGACAUACAUUGGCAGUGUUUGGAAAUUAAAUCAAUGCCUAUGAGAAUGCAAUUGUAUUAAAAAUCCCCAAACAAUGACUUUGUUUUCUAGGAUUUCAUUCAUGUUUGAAGCUGGAGGUUUUUUAAACAGGACUGAGAAACAAAUGUGUUUGAUUAAUUAUCACGCCACAUUUUAAUGAGUGACAGUGGUUUAGCAUUCUACAGCCAAAUUCAAUAUGCAAAGGGAAAUAAAUAUAGCGGAAUAGAGGAUCUGUUUUCUUGAGGUUUUCUUAAAACCAGUCAGAUCUGCAGAAAUUAUUUAGGUCCCAGACUUGCAAUGCAAUGUAACGGGGCAGACCUUUGCACAUAUGCAGAGCCCCAUUGACUUCAGUGGCACAAUAAUACUGGCACAAAAGUCCACCCACAUACAUCACAUUGCAGGACUGAGGCCGUGGUGGUAUUUUCCCACAUACUUGGUAUGACUUGAUUAAAAUUAUGCAUAUAUACCUUGUAUGGUAUUUUUAGAAUACCCUAACCUUCUACACCCUUCAUACAGAUCACACAAGCCUUGUGGGGUGGAAAAUUCUGGUAGGGCAAUGGUGCUGUGCAAGCCACCCUUCAUAGACUAUCUGAUCCCGGAAAGGGCUGAAUGUCUUCUGCAAGGUGCUGCUUGCCUCUCAGCUCCCACUGACUUCAACGGGAGCUGAAGGCACACUCUGUAUCUUGUAGGAAGUACUGAGAAAACUUUGCAGCAUUGAUGCCAUAGAAACACAGGGCCAGAUCCUCAGUUGGUGUAAAUCAAUGUAGCAGCAGAUCCGGCUUACUCACUCCAGCAUUGGGAGCUGGGCUAGGAAAACCGUCCUGGAAUCAGAUCAAUAAAACUCUCACGUGUGAUGAUGACCAAGGUGAUUUUCUUUAUACACUUAAUAGUUGUCCUAGGGCUAUAUAUAUACAUGGAGCCCAGUGACUUCUGCUGUAACAUACCUAGUUUACAAGAACGUAUUAUAAAUUAUAGAUGCAUAUCAUGUCUGUAUCUUGCACUGAAAUACCUGCCUAUUGAUCUGUCUCCCGCUGAUUAAUUUUCUUUACUGACUAGUUCCAUUUUUGGAAGCGGCUAACUGGCUUUAUUUCUGUUCUUUUGUAUGUCUCUGAAAUCUAUGCACCUGGAUUAAGCACUUUCUUGUUCUUACUGUAAAAGCAUGACUAGGAAAGCAGGUAUGUUAAUUUCUGUAAUAAAGAGUCUUUAUAAUA